CUGCAAUGAUGUGAAUUUCUCGCUGAAUUCAGCCUUGAAGUGUAAAACAGGAGCUUUUUAACCCUGAGCAGU
rnacentral:snoRNA from 1 species